AUUGGAUUUUAGAUGGGGAAAUGGCAGCCUGACAUAGAAUGGAAGAAGAGGCCUGUCUUACUGGGAGGCGAAGAUGAUUGACAUUGUUGAAAUUGAAUGCUUCUUCUGAUUGCGUGCUGAGUCGCCAGAUCUCAGCGCUGCUGAGAGUUGAUUGGUCUGCGUGAAGGGUCAGUGUCAGGUAUGAUAUGCGGGUACAUCUUGGGCGGCAGUGUCUCUUAUAGAAAUGGUGUUGGAGCUCCCUAGUAGGCACAAGGCCAGCGUGGUUUCCUCCUGUGGUCAGAGUCCUUUUCUGUAUGGAUUUGUCCAAAACUUCAGCGAUCUGGGACAUUCGACUUCAGACCUUCGGGUGACCGUCUUCCAAGGCGAACUUUGGGACAGACAACAAUGAAAAGUGGCCGAGCAGAGGCUGAUAGCUAAGUUCAGUAUCAAUGGGGAUGGCCUCAA